rnacentral:rRNA from 1 species
AACGAACGCUGGCGGCAUGCCUAACACAUGCAAGUCGAACGAGUGCCUUCGGGUGCUAGUGGCGCACGGGUGCGUAACGCGUGGGAAUCUGCCCUUAGGUUCGGAAUAACAGCUGGAAACGGCUGCUAAUACCGGAUGAUAUCGUGAGAUCAAAGAUUUAUCGCCUGAGGAUGAGCCCGCGUUGGAUUAGGUAGUUGAUGGGGUAAAGGCCUACCAAGCCGACGAUCCAUAGCUGGUCUGAGAGGAUGAUCAGCCACACUGGGACUGAGACACGGCCCAGACUCCUACGGGAGGCAGCAGUGGGGAAUAUUGGACAAUGGGCGCAAGCCUGAUCCAGCAAUGCCGCGUGAGUGAUGAAGGCCCUAGGGUUGUAAAGCUCUUUUACCCGGGAAGAUAAUGACUGUACCGGGAGAAUAAGCCCCGGCUAACUCCGUGCCAGCAGCCGCGGUAA